rnacentral:rRNA from 1 species
AUUGAACGCUGGCGGCAUGCUUUACACAUGCAAGUCGAACGGUAACAGGCCGCAAGGUGCUGACGAGUGGCGAACGGGUGAGUAAUGCAUCGGAACGUGCCCAGUCGUGGGGGGUAACGCAGCGAAAGCUGCGCUAAUACCGCAUACGAUCUAUGGAUGAAAGCGGGGGACCGUAAGGCCUCGCGCGAUUGGAGCGGCCGAUGUCAGAUUAGGUAGUUGGUGAGGUAAAGGCUCACCAAGCCAACGAUCUGUAGCUGGUCUGAGAGGACGACCAGCCACACUGGGACUGAGACACGGCCCAGACUCCUACGGGAGGCAGCAGUGGGGAAUUUUGGACAAUGGGCGCAAGCCUGAUUCAGCAAUGCCGCGUGCAGGAAGAAGGCCUUCGGGUUGUAAACUGCUUUUGUACGGAACGAAACGGUCCUGGUUAAUACCCGGGGCUAAUGACGGUACCGUAAGAAUAAGCACCGGCUAACUACGUGCCAGCCGCCGCGGUAA